UACGGGUGAGGCAAGCGUUGUUCGGAAUCACUGGGCUUAAAGCGCGUGUAGGCGGCGGGGUAAGUACUUUGUGAAAGCCCUUCUCUCAAAGGAGGAAUCGCUUGGUAUACUGCCUUGCUUGAGGUAGGUAGGGGUGCUUGGAACUCUAGGUGGAGCGGUGAAAUGCGUAGAUAUCUAGAGGAACGCCUGUGGCGAAAGCGGAGCACUGGGCCUGUCCUGACGCUGAGACGCGAAAGCGUGGGUAGCAAAC
rnacentral:rRNA from 1 species